rnacentral:rRNA from 1 species
AGAUCGAACUGUAGAGUUUGAUCCUGGCUCAGAUUGAACGCUGGCGGCAUGCCUUACACAUGCAAGUCGAACGGUAACAGGUCU